AGGAGGAACAGCCCCAGUGGCGGGGCAGCUCUGGAAACCUGGAUUCAGCUCCGGCAGGAACUCCGUCUGCAGGGCCUGGAGGCUCCCGGGCGGG
rfam:Canis lupus familiaris chromosome 2, whole genome shotgun sequence.